ACGUCCAGAAUUAAUCACCGAAGCAUGUGUGUCUUCCUCAGACUUCUGUAAAAGGCUGAAAAAAUAUGUUGUUGCUUUAAUAAUUCUAUCUUGGAAAAGAUUGCCUUAAAGUGAUAGCAUCAGCUGCCAUCUUAUGUUUGCUUGUAGUUCACUACAUUAUGGUCAGAAACUGCAAUGAACUGUGGGGAUGGAGGAAGGCAAGGGGGAAAAUGAAAGUUUAAAUGGUGGCAGGUCUGACAGAUGAAGACAGCCAAAUGUUCUGUUCUUGAUUGGUGUGCUGUGAAACAUCAUCUGAAGAUCAAAUUCAAAGUACUAUUCAGUAGUAUUUGAUUGCCAUAAGGCCAUAGAUUAUUCAUAAAUAUUCUGCACAUUAUGAUUCUUUGGCUUACAGCAGCUACAACAAACUCAACACUGGAAUUCUUGCAAGAGCCACAUCACAAAACUGAUUUGCCUUAAAUAACAAGGCAAUUAUAUUUCACAAAAUAAAUAUAUUUUUAAAUUUUGUUUGCCUACUUAUAAGCAUUUCAAAUUGUAUUAUUUUCAAAAAUUGUGUUUCAAUUCAAAUAUUUGCCAACAUUCCUAAUUUUACAAUGAAGAGACUUUUGAGAAAAGACCUGAUCAUUUUGUUAGAAUGCAUUUAUUACAGAACAAUAAUCAGAAUCCUCAUAUUAAAAUAGCAGGAAUGAAACUGAAGGCCUAUCAGAAAAGUUUUUAAAAAUCCACAAAUUAUGAGUUGCAUGGAAAGAAGAAAGUUUCAGCUUAAAUAGCAUGCAUUUACUAGAAAAAAGAACUUCUCUACAUCAAUAAGGAUGGCAUUUUUACAAAUUUAAGGUGAUGGGAACUAGUCAAAAAAUAUUAUGCACUCUUCAAUGAGGGUAGUCAAAACAACAUGAAUAAAUAUAAAUGUCUUUUAUGCUGGCUAAUUACACCAUUUUGAUUUAUUUAUAUUUCACACAUAGAAGAAGACACUGUCUGCUUUCUGCAACAAGAAAGAACACAUUCUAUUCAUCUACUUUCUAAAACUGUAACAGCUGUUAUGUGCAUGGCUAAACCUAAAUGCUUCUAAAUGUAUUAAGGAUAGAUUGACUCAAGUCUAUUAAAUCAAGUCAAAUAAAGUCAAAUCAGUUACUGUAAUUCAAAAAGGCUCCUUCAAACUCUUAUAGUCAAUUGAAUUGAAACUAUUAAAUAGUUAACUGUAUUAUAUCUUUAAAAAAACUUAAUUGGUUUAAAAGAUAUGUCCUGUUUUUUUAAAAAAAUUACUAGGUCACAUAAUUAAAGAACGGUAUCGUCAAAUUAAGUACCAGCAAAAUUUAACUGUAAUGUAUCUUGGUUGCAGAAAAUAUAACUUCAGUAACAGGGUUGUCAAUGCCUCGAAUGCACUACCUGACAAUGUGGUUUCUUCCUCAAACCACCAAAACUUUAACCUUAGACUGUCUACUGUCAACCUCACCCCAUUCCUAAGAGGUCUUUAAGGGGCGUGCAUAAGCGCAUAAGGGUGCCUACUGUUCCUGUCGUAAUAUUCCCUUGUACUCAUAUUAAUUUCAUGUAUUCAUAAUCAUGUCUAUACUUGUAUAUCUGUUAUCUAAUUCAUGCUUGAUGAAAUAAAUAAAUAAACAAAUAAAAAUAAAUAAAAUACAUGAAUCUUAUAGACAUAUGGAUCCUGUGAAAUGGUUAUACACUAUACAUUUGGGAUGUACUAUUUUGUUGUAGGAAACCCCUUCCCUCAGAUGUAAAUGUUCUUUAUUUUUAAUAUUAAAAAGAGAUAAAAUAUUUCCUCAGAGGAGAAAGGGA